CACUCCGCUGCUCGCCGUGCCGAGCCGAGCCGAGCAGUGCCGAGCAGUGCAGUGCAAUCUCCGCUAUCACCGAGCGUGCAUCGCGGCUAUGCGCUUCAAGCAGGUACCACCGAGGAUCCUGAUACCUUUCUUCUUCUCCUCGUCGGGAAGUGGAUGCCGGAGAAAAGGAAAUGACGUUUCCCCGUUAUGAGCCAAGAAAUUGUCAAAUGCUGCCCUGAUACACAUUCAACCUGCAUUAUCCAGAGAGAUCUCCCAGCAGAUGACGACAGAUGCGUGGAGAAGCAACGCGGCCACUUACGGUUGUGCUUCGGGGUGCAGAUUUGCAUUUCAGCGGAACAUAAUAUUGUAUUAUGUAGACGUUUAGAUUCACAGUGGAGUACACGUCAAGUUAACACCAAAUAUAUUUAUUAAAUGAC